CCGACCAGGUUUUUACAGAAGGAUCACUAACAGUCGGUAAGCCAUCAGUUUAAGUUUUUUUUUUUUUUAAAAAAAAAUCGUAUGUAGCAUGUAUUAUCAAGAAUUCUUGUAGUGGAGACUCUUAAUUACAACAACGUAUAUCUUCCUUUUAAAAAAACAACAACAUAUACCUGAGGUUGCUUUUUCAUUGUUUGAAAUAAAUAAAUAAAUCAUGAAAUGCCAAUAACAAAUUAAAUUUUUCUCUCUGAACGUAGUUUCUGCAUAAACAACAUCUUUAGCAGAAAAAAAAGGUUGAAAUAAACAUUGCACUUUCACCCAAUUUUUUCUUUGCAGAGAUCUAUUAAUCAGAGAAACACAUACACACCCAGAAAGUGGGAAAUGAGGAGAGGGAUAAAGAACAACAUAAUUGAAAAAGAAACCGGUGUUUAAUUAAUUGUCAUGCGAAUCAAAUUAAAGCUGAAUAUUGCUACAUGAUUAUUCUAAAAGGAGAAAAAAGGGUUACUUAGUAACACGGAAUAUACUCAUAGUCAUAGCCAAAACUGAAACGGAUCGGACCAAGAUGCUUGAUUCCCCAGGAGGAGUUGUUGGAUCUUGCAGCAAAACCAACAAAGACCCUUUUCACUCCAACCAAAAAAGCAACUAGGGUUCACUCAUAAGCAUAAGCAAACAUUACCUUUUCACUUUGUCAUCAACUUCCCCUUGUGCUUGCUUGUGACCUUGUUUAGUGUGUGAAGGUAGCUCCUUGUUGUGUUGGUGAAGGUGAUUAUGAUCAUCAAGUGCAAUAAGGGGAUGGUGGAUGAUGAUGAUGAUGUUUAUGAUAAAGGAAUUAGAGUUGGUAGCAAUGAGGGGGUAAUAAUAAUGAUGGUGAUGAAGGGUCAGAGAGAGUGGCAUGGAGGAGUAGGGCAUGAUGAUUAAUGUUGCUGUUGUGUGAUGUAGUUGAAAGGUUGGAGAAAAAUCCAAGGUAGUUUGUGUCAUCCUUCUCUUUCUCUGUGAUGAGUAAGAGAGAAAAAAAGAGAAUAAUUGAUAUAUGUGUGUCUCGAGGGGAGAAAAAAAUUGUCGUGAAUAUCGUGGUGCCAACUUUUUCAUGCCCCUCUCCAACUUUUGUUGGCAAGGAAAAGGAAAUAUGCAUCCCGUCUCAUUUUCCUUGCAGGAAUUAUUAGCUGCCACUGUUCCCUCGGCUACAAUAUACAAUCCAAUCAAAUUUUACUGCUUCUGGGAUGAUUUUGUUCACACUUAUUAAUUACAAGAAAUGGGUCUAUUUUCAAACUGAG
rnacentral:lncRNA from 1 species